GGCAACAAUGGAGGAGAGUUUUUCCUAAUGAAUCAAAGUCUAAGAAAUCAAUGUUGCGUGGAAGUAGAAGACCAACGGGUUGUGAACUUCUUCUCCUCAAAAAUGAUCAAUGACGGUCUAUGAAAAAUAAGCAAUGGCUAAUUCUAUGCCAAUAGCCGUGACAAAAUAAAGGACGCA
rnacentral:rRNA from 1 species